rnacentral:rRNA from 1 species
UACGUAGGGUGCGAGCGUUGCCCGGAUUUAUUGGGCGUAAAGGGCGCGUAGGCGGCCACGCACGUCCGUUGUGAAAUCGCCCGGCUCAACUGGGCGGGGUCAGCGGAUACGGUGUGGCUAGAGCAAGCUAGGGGGCAAUGGAAUUCCCGGUGUAGUGGUGGAAUGCGUAGAUAUCGGGAGGAACACCAGUGGCGAAGGCGGUUGCCUGGAGCUUUGCUGACGCUGAUGCGCGAAAGCGUGGGGAGCGAGUCCGG